rnacentral:rRNA from 1 species
UACGAAGGGGGCUAGCGUUGCUCGGAAUCACUGGGCGUAAAGCGCACGCAGGCGGUUCGCCAAGUUUGGAGUGACAGUUGUCGGCUCAACCGAUAAAGGACUUCAAAAACUGGUGAACUUGAGAGCGAGAGAGGAACAUGGAACUCCAGGUGUAGUAGUGAAAUGCGUAGAUAUCUGGAAGAACACCAAUGGCGAAGGCAAUGUUCUGGCUCGUUUCUGACGCUCAGGUGCGAAAGCCAGGGGAGCGAACGGG